GCCCACGUAGCUCAGUUGGUAGAGCAGCUGAUUUGUAAUCAGCCGGUCGCAGGUUCAAGUCCUGUUGUGGGCU
rfam:Synechococcus sp. PCC 7002, complete genome.